AGCGAACGCUGGCGGCAGGCCUAACACAUGCAAGUCGAACGAACCUUUCGGGGUUAGUGGCGGACGGGUGAGUAACACGUGGGAACGUGCCUUUAGGUUCGGAAUAACUCAGGGAAACUUGUGCUAAUACCGAAUGUGCCCUUCUGGGGAAAGAUCUAUCGCCUUUAGAGCGGCCCGCGUCUGAUUAGCUAGUUGGUUGAGUUAAUGGCUCACCAAGGCGACGAUCAGUAGCUGGUCUGAGAGGAUGAUCAGCCACAUUGGGACUGAGACACGGCCCAAACUCCUACGGGAGGCAGCAGUGGGGAAUCUUGCGCAAUGGGCGAAAGCCUGACGCAGCCAUGACGCGUGAAUGAUGAAGGUCUUAGGAUUGUAAAAUUCUUUCACCGGGGAAGAUAAUGACGGUACCCGGAGAAGAAGCCCCGGCUAACUUCGUG
rnacentral:rRNA from 1 species